rnacentral:sRNA from 1 species
CUUUAAAAAUCUGGAUCAAGCUGAAAAUUGAAACGACACACAUGUUAUGUGUGUCCGAGUCUCUCAAAUUUUCGCAACACGAGCUGUUUUACGAAACAGUUUCGG